rnacentral:rRNA from 1 species
CAGCAGCCGCGGUAAUACCGGCGGCCCGAGUGGCGGUCACUAUUAUUGGGCUUAAAGCGUCCGUAGCCGGGUUGGGAAGUCCUCCGGGAAAUCUGGCCGCUUAACGGUCAGAAUGCCGGAGGAUACUCCCAGCCUAGGGAGCGGGAGAGGCCGAGGGUAUUCCCGGAGUAGGGGUGAAAUCCUAUAAUCCCGGGAGGACCACCUGUGGCGAAGGCGCGCGGCAGGAACGCGUCCGACGGUGAGGGACGAAGGCCAGGGGAGCAAACCGGAUUAGAUACCCGGGUAGUCCUGGCGGUAAACGAUGCGGACUUUGUGUCGGACAAGCUAUGAGCUUGUCCGGUGCCGGAGGGAAACCGUUAAGUCCGCCGCCUGGGGAGUACGGCCGCAAGGCUGAAACUUAAAGGAAUUGGCGGG